AUACCACGAUGUGGACAUUUUUGCAACAAGUCCUUAAAGCGUUCUCAAGUCUCACACAAAGACUCAUAAUCAAGCUACAUAAAGUCGAUAGCUUCAUUUUUAAGCUU
rfam:Gossypium raimondii chromosome 6, whole genome shotgun sequence.